GGAUGAACGCUGGCGGCGUGCUUAACACAUGCAAGUCGAACGGAAAGGCCUCUGCUUGCAGGGGUACUCGAGUGGCGAACGGGUGAGUAACACGUGGGUGAUCUGCCCUGCACUUCGGGAUAAGCCUGGGAAACUGGGUCUAAUACCGGAUAGGACAAUGGUUUGGAUGCUGUUGUGGAAAGUUUUUCGGUGUGGGAUGAGCUCGCGGCCUAUCAGCUUGUUGGUGGGGUAAUGGCCUACCAAGGCGUCGACGGGUAGCCGGCCUGAGAGGGUGUACGGCCACAUUGGGACUGAGAUACGGCCCAGACUCCUACGGGAGGCAGCAGUGGGGAAUAUUGCACAAUGGGCGCAAGCCUGAUGCAGCGACGCCGCGUGGGGGAUGACGGCCUUCGGGUUGUAAACUCCUUUCGCUAGGGACGAAGCGUUUUUGUGACGGUACCUGGAGAAGAAGCACCGGCUAACUACGUG
rnacentral:rRNA from 1 species